GAGAGUGGGGAACUGCGGGCAGGUCGGCGGAGUUAGAUGGCAGCAAAGGUGGGCCGGCUUGGUGUGAUAAAGUUCCAACUGGGUCCUUCCGCGAGCCCUGGGUCCAUAAGAUGUCAUCGGCGAGCGCUGGACUUGACCGUCAACUUGGGAUUGUUAAGGUAAAUGGUGUCUCCUUCUGUCGCCAAGGCGGUGGCAUGGUCUCGGCUGGCUGCAAUCUCCACCUCCUUGCUUCCAGCGAUUCUCCUGCCUCAGCCCCCCGAGUAGCAGAAAUUACAGGAGUUUCAUGGCAGGGCGCUUGGCUGGCUUGUUUAAAUUCAUUCUGAAUAAGAACUGAGGAUGUCAGCUUCUGGCCUCAUGGACUCUGGACUGAAGAGUCCCCUUGUCUAUCUAUCAUGAGACUGUACACGUAAGAAGCAAAAAACUAGUAACAUUUAAAAUAAAUAAUUUUGUUGUACAGAAAUACACGGAUGCACCUAAAACAC
rnacentral:lncRNA from 1 species